rnacentral:rRNA from 1 species
ACCUCAAAGCUAGCCUACACACCAACUCAACUAGACCCAAUAAAUCUAAUUUACACUACAAUUUUCAAUUAAAACAUUCUAAACCUUUUAGUAUGGGCGACAGAACAAUAACCUUAGCGCAAUAGCUUAUGUACCGCAAGGGAAAGCUGAAAAAGAAAUGAAACAAAUUAUUAAAGUACUAAAAAGCAGAGUUUACAUCUCGUACCUUUUGCAUCAUGAUUUAGCUAGAAAAAUUAGGCAAAAAGAUUUUAAGUCUACCUUCCCGAAACUAAACGAGCUACUCCGAAGUAGCAUUAUAGAGCUAACCCGUCUCUGUGGCAAAAGAGUGGGAAGACUUCCGAGUAGCGGUGAAAAGCCUACCGAGUUUAGUGAUAGCUGGUUACCCAAAAAAAGAACUUCAGUUCUGCAUUAAUUUUUUAUUACCCAAACAAGACUUCCUUAUUAAAGGAACCCAUAAGAAUUAACAGUUAUUUAGAAGAGGUACAGCCCUUCUAAACUAAGAUACAACUUUUUAAGAUGGGAAAUGAUCACAAUCAUCAAGGUUACCCCCUCAGUGGGCCUAAAAGCAGCCACCUGUAAAGCAAGCGUCGCAGCUCCAGCUCAACAACCAAACCUUCAAUUCCGAUACAUAUUCACUACCCUCUUUAUCCUAUUGGGUUAUUUUAUAAAAAUAUAAAAGAAUUUAUGCUAAAAUGAGUAAUAAAGAGAACAAAUCUCUCCCGACACAAGUGUAUGUCAGAAGAAUUAAAUCACUGAUAAUUAAACGGCCCCAAACUGAGGCCAUUAUAUCACUUAAACAUUAACCAGAAAACCCUAUUCUUCCACCCGUUAAUCCUACACAGGAGUGUCACCAGGAAAGAUAAA